AUUUGUUUAUAAAUACAGAUGCAAAGCAGCCUAGCCCAAGGGAUGUUCCUGGCCGGCGCUGGCGGGCGCGGCGCGUACGCCGGCGCGGCGCUGCAGGGCCCGCUGGCGUACCUCGAGAAAACUGCCACUAACAUAGACAUGGUGGGGCUUGGCGACGGACGCAGGUGACGCGGCCGCGGGAGGGGCAGGGGGCGCGGCCGCGGCAGAGGACGCGGGCGAGGCGCAUCCCCCGAGUAUGGCGGCAGCAUGACGCCGCCGUAGCGCCCCCUCCCGGCGCGGCGGCGACACACGCACACUCGCUCGACAUCACCUCGCUAUGUUGGCUAACUUGUUUUCUAAGUUUUUUUUAUAUAAUUGUGAUCUGAGCCAUAAAGUUUGGAGGAAUCCGGCGAUAGGAUAUAUACUUGGUGAAGCAGAUCUUGUCGGUAGAAAAGGCGGCAAAUUUGAAAAAUGUAGGCGCGAAGGGAUAGCGUCUCAUAGAAAAUUUGAGUUUCGCGCCUUUUUCUACUGACAAGAUUUGAUUGACCAUCUAUAC